rfam:Arabidopsis thaliana chromosome 5, complete sequence.
GGAUGCGAUCAUACCAGCACUAAUACACCGGAUCCCAUCAGAAAUCCGCAGUUAAGCAUGCUUGGGCGAGAGUAGUACUAGGAUGGGUGACCUCCCGGGAAGUCCUCGUGUUGUAUCUC